AAAAAAAGAACACCAUACAGCCAGUUUGCAGUGGCACAUGCCUGUAAUCCCAGUGACUCAGGAGGCCAAGGCCAAAGGAUUGAGAAGGAUCAGAAGGAUUGCAAGCUCCAGGCCAGACAAAGUAGGAAAACCCUAUCUCAAAACAAAUUAACAAUGGCUGGAGAUGUGCCUCAGUGGUAGAGCACUUGCCUAGCAAGUGAAAGGCCCUUGGUUCAAACCCCAACUAGCACAGGAAGGAUAAAAAAGAAGAAUGCUAAAGAGAGCAGAAACCAAGUAAGUGACCAUCAUAUACAUAUACAUAUUUAUCACAAGAGUGUGUCUGUUAGUCCCUUGUUGCUAAAGUCAGAUGUGGUAGAAUUUUUUAAAAUAAAUAUUCUCCACUGGUGUAACUACAGGUGAUUUUGAUUUUUUAUUAGCCUUCCUUUUAGUGUUUGAACUUUAUACAAUUAAUAUGUAAUACUUUUGUUAUUUGGAAAAACAAAAUAAUUUCAAUGUCGAAAAAAACUUUAAUAAAAACUGGAUUAGGAUAUCAUGUCAUCACAUAGUUUAGAAAUUAUUUUGCUUUAAAAAAAAUGGGGGGGGGAGUACCCGGGAUUGAACUCAGGGGCACUCAACCUGAGCCACGUCCCCAGCCCUAUUUUGUAUUUUAUUUAGAGACAGGGUCUCACUGAGUUGCUUAAAGCCUUGCAGUUGCUGAGACUGGCUGUGAACUCAUGAUCCUCCUGUCUCAGCCUCCUGAGCUGCUGGGAUAAUAGACGUGUGCCACUGUGCCCUGCCUUAAACUUUGUUUUGUAUUUUAUUUUAAUUUAUUUUAUUAUGUGUUGCUAAAGAUGGAACCUAAUGCCUCACACAUGCUAGGCAAGCCCUCUGCCACUGAGCUAUAGCCCCAGCCCUUGCUUUUUUAUUAUCUAUGUUUAAGCAGAGGAAAAGUAACAAAAAGUUCUAAACUUACUUCAGAUUUGACUUCAGAAUGCAUUACAAUGAAAUGGUAACAACUGAAUCUAAAUUCACCUACAUAUUUUUAAUGGCUUUUCAUUUCUUCAGGUAAAUCCAAUAAAUGGAAUGAUAAGUGGUAUCAAUUAGGAAAAUUCUAAUAAUAAUUAAAUAGAUCAGAUUGGCUGUUUUAUACUCCUACAUUAAAAAAAAACCUUAUCCCCAAAUCUAAUGCGUAAUCUUUAUAUUUACCAAUUACUAUUGAUUCAAGUAUUCUUAAAACAGUUGGGCUGAUCACUGUUCAGAUGCCUGUGCUUUCAAUUUCCUAAUGGUGUUUGUGAAUGUUUGUUUCUGGGUCUCUCUGGGUGUGUGAUGUGUUCAUGGUGAGGAUGUGUAUGUGUCUGAGGGAGGCUGUUGGGGAUUUGAGGGUGUCUCUGCUAAUGAUUUUAAUGCUCUUACUCUUUCAAUGAGUACCUUUUCACAGCCUUUUUCCUAUCUGAAUGAUCAUUAUUUCUAAAUUAUUGAGACUCAACUAAUGUUUUCCUCUAAAUGAUCUGCCAAUGUGUGUACUAAAAUUUUUUUGAGUCAAGGAUCUGUAAAAAUCCAAUUCUAAAGUAGAAGGGAAAUAGAAGAUAUUUCUCAGAAAUAUAAAGCAAACUUUAC
rnacentral:lncRNA from 1 species